AGUGAACGCUGGCGGUAGGCCUAACACAUGCAAGUCGAACGGCAGCACAGUAAGAGCUUGCUCUUACGGGUGGCGAGUGGCGGACGGGUGAGGAAUACAUCGGAAUCUACUUUUUCGUGGGGGAUAACGUAGGGAAACUUACGCUAAUACCGCAUACGACCUACGGGUGAAAGCAGGGGAUCUUCGGACCUUGCGCGAUUGAAUGAGCCGAUGUCGGAUUCGCUAGUUGGCGGGGUAAAGGCCCACCAAGGCGACGAUCCGUAGCUGGUCUGAGAGGAUGAUCAGCCACACUGAAACUGAGACACGGUCCAGACUCCUACGGGAGGCAGCAGUGGAGAAUAUUGGACAAUGGGCUCAAGCCUGAUCCAGCCAUACCGCGUGGGUGAAGAAGGCCUUCGGGUUGUAAAGCCCUUUUGUUGGGAAAGUAAAUCAGCAGGUUAAUACCCCGCUGUUCUGACGGUACCCAAAGAAUAAGCACCGGCUAACUUCGUG
rnacentral:rRNA from 1 species